AGUGAACGCUGGCGGUAGGCCUAACACAUGCAAGUCGAACGGCAGCACAGUAAGAGCUUGCUCUUACGGGUGGCGAGUGGCGGGCGGGUGAGGAAUACAUCGGAAUCUACUUUUUCGUGGGGGAUAACGUAGGGAAACUUACGCUAAUACCGCAUACGACCUACGGGUGAAAGCAGGGGAUCUUCGGACCUUGCGCGAUUGAAUGAGCCGAUGUCGGAUUAGCUAGUUGGCGGGGUAAAGGCCCACCCAGGCGACGAUCCGUAGCUGGUCUGAGAGGAUGAUCAGCCACACUGGAACUGAGACACGGUCCAGACUCCUACGGGAGGCAGCAGUGGGGAAUAUUGGACAAUGGGCGCAAGCCUGAUCCAGCCAUACCGCGUGGGUGAAGAAGGCCUUCGGGUUGUAAAGCCCUUUUGUUGGGAAAGAAAAGCAGCAGGUUAAUACCCCGCUGUUCUGACGGUACCCAAAGAAUAAGCACCGGCUAACUUCGUG
rnacentral:rRNA from 1 species